ACGGAGUUAGCCGGGGUUCUUUACUGGGUACAGUCAUUAUCUUCCCCAGCGAAAGAGCUUUACGACCCUAGGGCCUUCAUCACUCACGCGGCAUGGCUAGAUCAGGGUUGCCCCCAUUGUCUAAGAUUCCCCA
rnacentral:rRNA from 1 species